GAGUUUGAUCAUGGCUCAGGACGAACGCUGGCGGCGUGCUUAACACAUGCAAGUCGAGCGAUGAAGCUUCCUUCGGGAAGUGGAUUAGCGGCGGACGGGUGAGUAACACGUGGGCAACCUGCCUCAAAGAGGGGAAUAGCCCUCCGAAAGGAGGAUUAAUACCGCAUAAAGUUAGAGUUUCGCAUGAAACUUUAACCAAGGGAGUAAUCUGCUUUGAGAUGGGCCCGCGUCCCAUUAGCUAGUUGGUAAGGUAAUGGCUUACCAAGGCAACGAUGGGUAGCCGACCUGAGAGGGUGAUCGGCCACAUUGGAACUGAGACACGGUCCAGACUCCUACGGGAGGCAGCAGUGGGGAAUAUUGCGCAAUGGGGGAAACCCUGACGCAGCAACGCCGCGUGGGUGAUGAAGGUUUUCGGAUCGUAAAACCCUGUUUUCUGGGACGAUAAUGACGGCACCAGAUGAGGAAGCCACGGCUAACUACGUGCCAGCAGCCGCGGUAAUAC
rnacentral:rRNA from 1 species